GCCUGGCUGGCUCAGUCGGUGGGAGCGUCUGACUUCGGCUCAGGUCAUGAUCGCACAGCUUGUGAGUUCAAGCCCCGCAUCAGGCU
rnacentral:tRNA from 1 species